UACGUAGGGUGCAAGCGUUGUCCGGAAUUAUUGGGCGUAAAGAGCUCGUAGGCGGUCUGUCGCGUCUGCUGUGAAAACUCGGGGCUUAACCCCGGGCCUGCAGUGGGUACGGGCAGACUAGAGUGCGGUAGGGGAGACUGGAAUUCCUGGUGUAGCGGUGAAAUGCGCAGAUAUCAGGAGGAACACCGGUGGCGAAGGCGGGUCUCUGGGCCGUAACUGACGCUGAGGCACGAAAGCGUGGGGAGCGAACAGG
rnacentral:rRNA from 1 species